AACUUAAACAAACGUGCAGACUGGUUAAACACACACACACACACACACACACACACACACACACACACACACACACACACUCUACCUGACCCAGGGAUAGUUCCAGUAUGAGGCAAUAUGCGGUUUUUUUGUUUUGUUUUAUUUUGUUUUUUUCCACACUCAGAAAGUAGGUACCAAUGCUUUGCUAUGAAGAGAAGUCAGGGGAACUGGUUGGAAAGGUCGAAAUUGA
rfam:Cricetulus griseus cell line CHO-K1, whole genome shotgun sequence.